ACGAGACCGUGUCCUCGCGGU
rnacentral:misc_RNA from 1 species